UCUCUUUGUUUUAUUUCUUUAUUUUUUAAAGAUGAUCUUUAGAUACUGUGUAAUUUUACAAAAAUGACUAUGAACUGCUUUACUGUGGCGGUCAAACACUUUUUUUUUCUCCUCAAUCGGUUAUGGAAAUGUUGUCACAAUAUUUUGACAGACAGAUUGUCGUGUGGCUGCACAGAGCGCCGCAGAGAGCGAGACGCCAUUUCUGGCUGCUGGCUGGCUGUGUUGUUUCGAGCCUUCGGAGAAAGUGAGGGAUUGAUCAGUGCAGAGGGGAAGUGAAGCUGAGAUGAAGAGAGGGAGGGAGGGAAGGGGAGGUGCGGGGGGUGGGGGGCGCUCUCGCUGCAGAAUCAGCCGCUCGCUGGCACUCGGUCAUACCGAGAGAGCGAGAGCGGGUCUCACAGACGGCCCAGGUACAGGUACAGAGACACCCGGGACAAGUGUCCGGAAUGGAGGCGCAUGAGCGGAUAACAAAGUCGGCACAGGUUUGAAGGUAGACAGUGUGUGUGUGUGCGCGUGUGUGUGUGUGAGGCACGUGGCAGCCGCUCUCAUUUCCGGGAGUGUCCACACCGUCUGGUCCCUGAAGAUGAACGAUGCUUCUUGUUUGUGGGGGAAGGAGGAGUCUUCAAGGUGUGUAUGUGUGCAUCAGAUGUGUGUUUGCAGUGUAAAUGACAUGCAUGUUUUGGCUGCCGUGUGCGUUAUUGAAUAUGCCUGCAGUUAGCGUUGUGAGGUUGCAUGAUCUCGUCUGUGCUCACAAAGUCACAAAAAAGACAACUUAUUGCAAAAGCAGUGAGGGGGAAUCGCAGGCGCUGCGGGUCUGGGUGGGUGUGGGUUGGUCUUGCGGGGAGCUGUGUAAGACGUUUUUUUUUUGUUUGUUAAUUUUUCCCCAACACCGGCUCUUGAAUGUGGCUGAUCAAUUGCUGCUACAUGUCUUUCGGUGUAAUGGAGUCAGUGGCGGGAGACGAGACGCAGACAGACACACACACACACACACACACGUACACAUACAAGAGGUUCAUGUCUGAAGCUGCAGUCAGAGGCCAGCGGUUCUGCUCACCAGAGAUCCUGAAGAUGAAAAACACCGAACAAAGAGAAAGACAGACAGAGAGACUGACCACCUGACUGGAGGCUUUUCUCAACCAACAAAGGCUAUGUCUGCUCCCUCGACGGAAAACUUCAAAUCCCACCGUUUGCCUUGGUUUCCUCUUACCUGAUCGUUUUUUGGGGUUUGUCUGCUUUUGUGUGCAUGCCAUUUGGUGAAUGAAAUACCUGUGCGCUGCAUGUCUGUGGCUCUAAACUCUGCAAUGAAAAAGGCAAAUUUUAUUUCCUAGGCCGAAAAUUAUUAGCAAUAAUCUUCGUUAUGCUGGACGAAAGAGGACGUGAGUGUGCAACACUUGUCUGUAUGUGUGUGUCACUAACCUGUGUGAACACCGCUGCACUCCUCCUGGUCCCUGAGACCCUAACUUGUGAGCUUUUUGUGCUGAAAAUCACAGGUUAAGCUCUUGGGACCUGGGCAGAGGGCAAAAGCACUCAAUCCCCUGACAGUGUCCCGACUGAGAAGGACUUGGGACGGAUGUCUGUGAGAGAUAAGAAAGAAAAACGUUGGACGAGAGAGAGGAUGAGGUGCUGGUGUGUCUGAGAGAUUGAAUGUUCAAUUUGUGCACAUGCUUAUGAUGAUGAUGAUGAUGAUGAUGGUUUCUUCUGGUUUUUAAAUAAAACUCGAUCCUGUGUGUCUGCUGAGGUGUUUUUUCUUUGGGGUGAGGGGUGCAGGAGAGGGUCGUCUUGCUAAUCGCUCUGUCUGGCUGUCUGGUCGCCACUGCAGCUCGUUUAUAAAUGACCUUUAUCGCAUCGGCAGCAGGAGGAAGUGACGGGAUUAUCAGUUAUUCCCACACCAGUUUCUUUUGGUAUGCGAUUAUCAGUCAUUUAAUUCUUGAUUUAAAAUCUUUUUUGAAAUGUUGCAAAGAUUUUCUCUUAAAUAAAGGUAAAACAUGCAGCCGUUUUUUUCUAGUGCCGCCCUUCGUAGAAGAUGCCAGCACCUGCACUACUAUGAAACAAGUCAGCUUGGAUCUAUCCUCAUGUAUCCACCAGAUGUAAUGUAAUUUUUUUUGUCUAAUCUAGUAACGUAGAAUCUGUCUGAUGCAUAGCCAAAAAAGUCUGUGCAAAAAAAAAAACGAGCAACAUAUUGAACCAACAUAUGCUGACACCUUCAUUUACACAACAACGAUUUCUAUGAAUAGACUUCAUUACUUCUUGAAGACCAGACUUUGCUGUUAGAAGAACAUAAGGCUUGCAGAUUAUUGCGUUUAAAGCCGUCCAUGUUUAUACGUGUCGUCAUGUUGUUUUCGAGCAGAAAUGACAUUGAACUCCAGACGGAUGGUAGUUUUAGAGGGUCCGGCUGGCACGGAGCUGUGGGAUCCUUCCUGUUUUAAGGAUGUGAACUCAUUAAGUCUUACUCCUGGCUUUGUUCUUUAUCUCCUUGGAGUGUUUAACUUUUAAAAACCUAAUUUUGCUAAUUUACCCACAUUAGAAAUGUAGUUUCAAAACAGUUGAUUUCCCCCUAUUGCUCUCUCUCUCUCUCUCUCUCUCUCUCUCUCUCUUUCUCUCUCUCUAAUUAUAUUUUUCCCCUGCUUGGUUUCGCUCUGAACAAUGGCGGAUGCCAACUAAUCAGGCUGGGUCUGUGCCACAAAGCUCCCAGCAACAGCUGAAGCUCUGCCAUGCUCUGUGCAUACCAAGCAGUCAGCCACGACCAGCGAGCGCCAGCCUGGUGCCCAACGCGGGGUCAGACAGUUUUAUUAGGAUCCGUCUGACACUCGGCACAGGCUGGCAGUGCCAACGCACAGAUAAAAUCUUGUGUGUUGCUCACACUAUUCAUCUGAGCUAGCACAUAAAUUCUCCCUCAACCCACACAAUCACACACACACACACACGGACCAUUUCAUCAGCUAGAUGAGAAAAGGAACAAAGACUUGGAUCCAGCCAGGAACAAAGAUUUUGUUAUUUAAUAAACGGCCCAACUUGUGAAUGGUCCAGCAAGCAUCAGGGUCUGAUGUCUCAGCCUCAUUGGCAUGGUUUCAUAUUUACAUUUUUGGCUGACAGCGCAUUGGACUGAGUUUCAUUUGUGUGCAUCAGAGCAAAAAAUGGUUCGUUUUCUGGCUGAUAAGUCUGACCAGCAUUUUCAGAUGGACGUGGGCAUCCAGAAAGAUAGCCAGGCAUGCAAACAAUGAAUUAAUGAAUUUGAAAUAGUUUCAUAUUUAUAAAUAUUUAUCAAUAGUUUAAUAAAUUGUCUGGCUGUCAGAUUAGCUAAAAAUGAAACGGAUAGACUGAGAAAUGUUUAUUCAUAGACUGAUAUAAUAACUUUAUGAAUAAUGAAAUAAUAAAUGAAAUAUUUAAUUCCUAUAAUUCUCAUAAAUUGUGCAUAAACCUUGCUUAAUUGACUUGGAUUUGUGCUUAUAAAGACAGUGCAUUUACUUUUGAAGUCAAAUUAUUUUGUUUGCAGUUUAAAUUAAAUAAAAAAUGCUUGUACUUGUAACAUAAAAUGUGUAUUAUAUCAAUGUACACAAACAUUUUGAAAUAUAAAACAUACCUAACCUGAUAUCGAAUCAUUUAAUUCACAGAAGACCGCAAGAAAGAUUCCCUUGAUAAAUGUCAGGAGAUAAAGACCGGCCACUGAGGAAUUAAAAGAGCCCGCUGAUGGUAUGUGAGUGUGUUCUCACUAAACCGCAUGCGGUUGAAAUAAACGUAACAUUUGUCUGGGAUAAAGCUACUGAAAGUAGAUUAAGCACUGAGAGCUCAGCCGGGAGAAACUGCAGGAGCCGGGUGAAUAUACAGGAUUACAGGAAUCUUUCUUCCAUUGGCUGUCAGGGAUUGUUGUGGUGCAUGCUAUCAGUGCAGGUCAGAGGAAACAGUGGGUCCUUCUCACUGCUCACUGCAGGUACAAAUAACAGGUGCAAACACACAGCCUCACAACGUCUGUGUACAUGUGUGAUGCUGCCACUGACACAGAAUGCACUUGUUCAUUGUGCAGAAUUCAUUGAUGAGCAUAAUGAUGACAAACAUUCAUUUUCCAAUGUACUCAAAUUCUAUUUAAGUGCUCAAAAGUACUGAACAGGUAUUGAUCAUCUGUGCUGUACAUGAGAUUUCGAUUUUUAAUUUCACUUUAAAAUUAAAACAUUUGAAAUCCGAGAUUCUAUUGCAAAUGCUGUUCCAGUUAUCAUAUCGGUUAUUGGCCAUAACAAAUAUUUUGUUAAAACUGAUCAAGUCUUAAAUCUGUUUCAUAUUACUUCCUACAAAAUUUGUUUAUUCAGAAUACCACCGCGUGUUAAUCAAAGCUUGUUUUGUCAUUAUUUGUUGUCACCCUUUUAUUAAAGCAGUAAGCCACUGGA